GGCUUGGUGGUGGAUGGUGCACAUCUGCGUGUUGUGAUGUUGUGAUAGAAAUCUGCGCAGAAGGAGCCUGUUCGAUUCGGGCCCAAGCCA